AUUGAACGCUGGCGGCAGGCCUAACACAUGCAAGUCGAACGAGUGGCGGACGGGUGAGUAAUGUCUGGGAAACUGCCUGAUGGAGGGGGAUAACUACUGGAAACGGUAGCUAAUACCGCAUACCACAAGUUGGGCCCAGAUUGGAUUAGCUAGUUGGUGGGGUAACGGCUCACCAAGGCGAGGAGCCCUAGCGGGUCUGAGAGGAUGACCGGCCACACUGGAACUGAGACACGGUCCAGACUCCUACGGGAGGCAGCAGUGGGGAAUAUUGCGCAAUGGGCGCAAGCCUGAUGCAGCCAUGCCGCGUGUAUGAAGAAGGCCUUCGGGUUGUAAAGUACUUUCAGCGGGGAGGCGUUACCCGCAGAAGAAGCACCGGCUAACUCCGUGCCAGCAGCCGCGGUAAUUC
rnacentral:rRNA from 1 species